AAGUGUCACAGUUCUUUUAGAAUUUGUCUAGCAGGGUUUCCGGUUUUACUGGAAAAAA
rnacentral:snRNA from 1 species